rnacentral:rRNA from 1 species
UGGGGAAUUUUGCGCAAUGGGCGAAAGCCUGACGCAGCAACGCCGCGUGGAGGAUGAAGGUCUUCGGAUCGUAAACUCCUGUCAGUGGGGACGAAAGCCUCGCAAGAGGUUUGACUGUACCCGCUGAGGAAGCCACGGCCAACUCCGUGCCAGCAGCCGCGGUAAUACGGAGGUGGCAAGCGUUGUUCGGAAUUACUGGGCGUAAAGGGCGCGUAGGCGGCAUGGCAAGUCGGAUGUGAAAUCCCCGGGCUUAACCUGGGAACUGCAUCCGAAACUGCUUUGCUUGAGUCCUGGAGGGGGUAGUGGAAUUCCCAGUGUAGCGGUGAAAUGCGUAGAUAUUGGGAGGAACACCUGCGGCGAAGGCGGCUACCUGGACAGUGACUGACGCUGAGGCGCGAAAGCUAGGGGAGCGAACGGG